rnacentral:misc_RNA from 1 species
UUGUUUUUGUUACAAUAAUUUACAUUCAUUACACAGAUGUUUUUGGUGUUUGCGCCCAGGGCCCUAGAGCCCCGAGACGUACAGUUCACAGUGUGUGUGGAAUAGACACGGCCAGAGGCCAAUCUCUAAUGAUCCUUCCGCAGGUUCACCUACGGAAA